GACGAACGCUGGCGGCGUGCUUAACACAUGCAAGUCGAGCGGAAAGGCCCUUCGGGGUACUCGAGCGGCGAACGGGUGAGUAACACGUGAGUAACCUGCCCCAGACUUUGGGAUAACCCUCGGAAACGGGGGCUAAUACCGGAUACGACACAGCUUCGCAUGGGGUCUGUGUGGAAAGUUUUUCGGUUUGGGAUGGGCUCGCGGCCUAUCAGCUUGUUGGUGGGGUGAUGGCCUACCAAGGCGACGACGGGUAGCCGGCCUGAGAGGGCGACCGGCCACACUGGGACUGAGACACGGCCCAGACUCCUACGGGAGGCAGCAGUGGGGAAUAUUGCACAAUGGGCGGAAGCCUGAUGCAGCGACGCCGCGUGAGGGAUGACGGCCUUCGGGUUGUAAACCUCUUUCAGCAGGGACGAAGCGUAAGUGACGGUACCUGCAGAAGAAACGCCGGCCAACUACGU
rnacentral:rRNA from 1 species